rnacentral:rRNA from 1 species
AACCCCUAUCCUAUGUUGCCAGCGAGUAAUGUCGGGAACUCAUGGGAGACUGCCGCAGACAAUGCGGAGGAAGGCGGGGAUGACGUCAAGUCAUCAUGCCCCUUAUGUCUUGGGCUACACACGUACUACAAUGGACUUAAAUAGAGGGAAGCAAUACCGCGAGGUGGAGCCAAACCCAGAAACAAGUUCUCAGUUCGGAUUGUAGGCUGCAACUCGCCUACAUGAAGUCGGAAUCGCUAGUAAUCGCAGGUCAGCAUACUGCGGUGAAUACGUUCCCGGGCCUUGUACACACCGCCCGUCACACCACGAAAGUCAGUCACACCCAAAGCCGGUGAGAUAACCGCAAGGAGUCAGCCGUCUAAGGUGGGGCCGAUGAUUGGGGU